rnacentral:rRNA from 1 species
CCUACGGGUGGCAGCAGUGGGGGAUAUUGCACAAUGGGGGGAACCCUGAUGCAGUGACGCCGCGUGGGUGAAGAAGCGCCUCGGCGCGUAAAGCCCUGUCAGCAGGGAAGAAAAUGACGGUACCUGAAGAAGAAGCCCCGGCUAACUACGUGCCAGCAGCCGCGGUAAUACGUAGGGGGCAAGCGUUAUCCGGAUUUACUGGGGGUAAAGGGGGCGCAGACGGCGAUGCAAGCCAGGAGGGAAAGCCCGGGGCCCAACCCCGGGACUGCUCUUGGAACUGCGUGGCUGGAGUGCAGGAGGGGCAGGCGGAAUUCCUGGUGUAGCGGUGAAAUGCGUAGAGAUCAGGAGGAACACCGGUGGCGAAGGCAGCAUGCCGGCUUCCGACUGACGCUGAAGCACGAAAGCGUGGGGAUCGAACAGGAUUAGAUACCCUAGUAGUC